GGGAUUGUGGCUCAGCGAUAGAGCAUUCACCUAGCGUGUGGGAGGCUCUGGGUUCGAUCCCCAGCACCA
rfam:Ictidomys tridecemlineatus contig001304, whole genome shotgun sequence.